rnacentral:rRNA from 1 species
UCUGGAAACCAUAGAGCUGUGGCACCACCUGAUCCCAUUCCGAACUCAGAAGUGAAACACAGUAUCGCCGAUGGUAGUUUGGGGUCUCCCCAUGCGAGAGUAG